CAGAGGGGGCAAGCGUUGUUCGGAAUUACUGGGCGUAAAGGGCGCGUAGGCGGCCUGCUAAGUCGAACGUGAAAUCCCCGGGCUCAACCCGGGAACUGCGUCCGAUACUGGUUGGCUUGAAUCCGGGAGAGGGACGUGGAAUUCCAGGUGUAGCGGUGAAAUGCGUAGAUAUCUGGAGGAACACCGGUGGCGAAGGCGGCAUCCCGGACCGGCAUUGACGCUGAGGCGCGAAAGCCAGGGGAGCAAACGGGAUUAGAUACCCCGGUGGUCCUGGCCCUAAACGAUGAAUGCUUGGUGUGGCGGGUAUCGAUCCCUGCCGUGCCGAAGCUAACGCAUUAAGCAUUCCGCCUGGGGAGUACGGUCGCAAGGCUG
rnacentral:rRNA from 1 species